CGGCAACAGCUCAAAUUUGAAAUCUGGCCCUCGGGUCCGAAUUGUAAUUUGUAGAAGAUGCUUUGGGUGUGGUCCCGGUCUAAGUUCCUUGGAACAGGACGUCAUAGAGGGUGAGAAUCCCGUAUGUGAUUGGGGCCUCCGCUCGUGUAAAGCUCUUUCGAC
rnacentral:rRNA from 1 species